UGAAAUUUAAAUCGGACGAAAAUAUAUAUGGGAGCAUCGAAAUCUUAAUCGAUUGCCAGAUAAACUUCCACACUGAACCUGGCUGCGUGUACCUAAAUUGAUUUGAUUCGGGCGGAUAUUACGCAUUUGUAUUGUAUUGUGCACUACUUAUGUAUUGUGCACUACUUAUGAAAUCGGACGACACUAUGUAUGGGAGAUAGAGCUGCAAAACUAUCGAUAGUAUCGAUAGAUAUCUUUUUUGAGGACUAUCGAUGGGGUUUUUCACUAUCGAUACUAUCGACAAAUUUGAACAAGGUAGCUUGUAUCAGUCUUUUUCACAGGCCGUCUGUACAUUUUUAUAUUUUAAUACAAAUAAGUAAUGUGAACAGACGCUAGCAAUCACAAACACAAGUUUAUUAGGAAAUUGAAGGCUUAAGAGAAAUGGAGAGGUAUCUGCAAAUAUUAAAUGAAAGUCCCAACGAAAAUACUGAGGAAGACAGUGAUGAUGGGGAACCUAUUCCCAAAAAGACCCGUAAGCAAUCUUCGGAUGUUUGGACGUAUUUUGAAGCGGUUAAGGAAAAAAUUGUGCUAAAUGCCGUUUAUGUGGAAAUUUUUAUAAAACCAGCGGCAAUACAACGAAUCUAUUCGACCACCUUAAAAGAUCACAUCCGGGCUUCAAAGAAGUUGAAAAACCGACCAAUGUCAUCACGUCUUAUUUAAAACAAAAAGACACAUACGGCUUAGAAUCGGAGCGCAAGAGGAAUCUGGAUAAUGCUCUUAUGUUCAUGGUAGCUAUCGACGUGCAGCCGUUUAGCAUAGUGGAAGAUAGAGGUUAUAGAGAUUUCCUACUCUUUACCAUCACGUACGACACUACAAAAUAAAAUGAUGGUUGAAAUGUAUAACGCGCAAAAAAAUUAGCUACAUUCGAUUUUAAAUGAAAUAGAGCACUGUGCAAUCACAACAGACUGUUGGACCUCCCGUUCAAAUGAGGGUUAUCUGACAGUUACUUGCCACUUUAUUACAGAGGAUUUUUGUUUGCGUAAAACUUCUAACGGCUACUAACCACAACG